GGGGGUAAUGUUCAGUGGUAGAGUAUAUGCCUAGCAUGUGCAAGGCCUUGGGUUCAAUCCCCAGUACUCCCC
rnacentral:tRNA from 1 species